GUAGCUAUGAUGCUGAUAGGUGGUCUCUAUGGUAUCUCAGGUGGUUGCUGUAGCUAUGGAGUUGCUAAGUGGUUUCUAACUGGUAGCUAUGAUGCUGAUAGGUGGUCUCUAUGGUAUCUCAGGUGGUUGUAAUAGCUGUGGUGUUGCUAAAUGGUUUCUUAAUUAAAGCUAAGAUGAUAAAUGGUGUUGGUUCCUG